GGAGGGGUACCGAAGUGGCCAUAACGGGGCGGUCUUGAAAACCGUUUGUGUGAAAGCACGCGUGGGUUCGAAUCCCACCUCCUCCGCCA
rnacentral:tRNA from 1 species